CAAUUGUAAGUAAUCUUGAAUGUGAGUCUCAGUUUUUCCACUUGCUGCGCAGUUUGGAUAUAGUAUUCACGCUCCUCAUCGAGGACCUGGGAAAAAUCUAAGACUGUCCUCCUCUUUCAAGGAAAAAUAGUAGAGAACAUGACUGAAGCAGGAACUGAGGCAUGAGUCACAGAAGGCCUAUGGAAUAUAAAGGAUUAAUAUUCAACUUGAAUGCAGUGAUCAUGUAAACUAGAGAAAGGAGAUUAAAAAUCACCUCUGGAUAUUCCUCUCACGUGAUCUUUAUUCUGGAUGAAGCAUUAGGACAGCUAAUAGACGUGUGUCACUGCAAUUUGCUGCUAGAAGUGUGUUUUCCAUUUAAAAGAUGCAUCAAGUUGGAAUCUGUCUAAAAAACAGUUCUCUGUUUGAAGGAAAUCAAGCAGGUGAUUAAAACGACUUUACCAGGGAAAAGGCAAGCUUUUGUCCAAUAAAGCAGAACAGAGCUGAAGGAGGAAGGCAAAGGCCGUGGAGCCAGAUGGCUGAGUUUGCAGUUUCGCUCUGUUAUUGACUAGGUGGGUGAGCACCGUCUUUUCACUUAAUUGUUAUGCUUCUGUUUUCUUAACUGUGAAAUGGGGUAAGAAGAGAAACUUUAACAUGAAGCUGUUGUAGGGUUAAAAGAGGUCAUCACAAUAGGUGCUUAGGGCACUCCCUGGCACAUAGUAGGUGCUCAGUAAAUGAACUGUUGGUAUGUGUACAAGGAGAUCUCCUCUUGUGCCAUCCCACUGAUGGCUCUCAAGCUCCAGAAGCCUCUCAAGGCUCUCAAGGCUCUCUUGGACAAUCCUCAAGCCAAGAAGGUCAAGAAUUUCAGAAGGUAUUCUACAUGUGACUCCCCAGUUGUGCAUUGACUCAUCCAUGACUGGACAUAGAGAAAAGUGUGCUAGCUAGCUAGCUAUGUUAAAAAAAUACAGGA